CGAAGGGUUGGGGAGAAGGAGGAAUUUAUAACAGUUGGAUGGGAUGAAGAGGAGCACGAUCGAUCGUAAGUCGGAUGGGAAAGGGGAAGAAGGAUCGAAGGAAUUCAUCAUCGGGAGGGGAAAAAAAUGUAAGAGAGGCGAGUGAAAACUCGCGAGUAGUGGACGGUUUCCAGAUCUGAAGCGGUGCGAAAGCUGCUCGAACGAGGUGGUCAUCUUUCGAGUGGAGGGUGGUGAAAAAUAUGGGAUGGUCGUGGAAUCAUCGAAAGAAAGAGUACAGGUAAAAUGGUUCGGAAGUAGUCGAAAUUAUACGGAAAAGGGAAUGCCGCAGUAUCGUAAGGAAGGGGAGAAGAGAAAUGUUUUCAACCUUCUUUUUCUUCUUCUUCUUCGCCUAUCGCGAUACACCUUGUCCACGCCGUCGAUAUUCGUAUAGUUGGGAAUCGAUAUAAGAAGAAGGAGAGGAAGGAAGGAAGGAAGGAAGGAAGGAAGAAUCGGUGGUAAAGUGGGAGACCGAGAAAGCGAUGGAAGAAAAGGGAAAAGAAGUUCGUUGAUCUCCGGGGAAAUACAUCCGAGGAGGGCAGUUUUUGGAAAGAACGCAGCGACGACGGAUCGUCGUCGAGAGAUCGAUUCUCCUGAUAUACGAUCGAAGCGAAAGGAAAUCGGGAGUUCGGGAUCGAUCGGCGGAUAUAUACGAAGGAAGGACGAGAACGGACAGAGUCGCGAUGCGAUCUCGUUGCAUUCGAGGAACAACGAGCGUGCGAUCGUUGUUAACGAUGUUGGUGAAAAACUUGCCGUUUUUUUCUUUUAUCGUGCGCGAGCGUGCUCGGUAAAUUCGGGUUUUUACCGAGAGAACACCGGGGAACACCGGGCCGGUAGUAAAUGGCGCGUGUCGAUAGUUACGUUCGAUUCUCGCCGAAUAAGCGUUUCCCUUGUCCGUGCUUGUCCAUCAACUACGGACCAGGCAUCGAUAAAUAGUAUUUUUUUACCUACCGCUACGAUCGACCAACGAUCGGCGAGCGAGAUCGCGAAAUCCUCGAACGAUCGCUCGGCAACGUACAGCUCGAGAACGAAUUUCCCGUCCUAUUUGGUUGUUCUUCCAGCUCGACAGGUUGUCAUCGAGGCGCGCGCACACACACACACGCACACGCACACGCUCGAACGAUUUCGCCUCGUCUUCGCUCGUACGAAGAUCUCCAACGGCGGAACGAAGUGAAGGUGGUAUGUUAUGACGAGCGUGAUUUGUUUUU